GUAUCCCUCCAUGCCUCUUAGGGAAAACCUCCUUCUGGAGGUGGUCAGUUGGUCACUGGUAAGUCUGCUUCACACCCCAACUUCCAAUCCUGUUGUUACAGUAAGUAGCCGUCUGAGGCUGGCAGUACUGCCCGAGGAUCGACUGCAGAUGAAGUGGAGGGAAGCAGAGGGAAGUGGCCUUGGCUAUUUGGUGCAAGUGACACCUAUGGCAGGUAUGGAGAGCUCAUGUCUCCCUACUAGGUUUUCUCUCCUCUUCCUUCUGUUAGGGCUGUUAGAAAUGGGCCUGGGGUCUCAAGAGAAUGAGCACACAGUGCAGAGUUUGUUAUUCUGGAUUUUGGCUAGGCACAAGGUUUUACUUCUGCAGAAUGGAGUGUGGCUAAGCUUAAGUAAGUAACUGGGCACACCCAGCCAGAGAUCCUAGUGUGGUUUUGUUCCUAAUUAAAGAAGUCUUGUACUUCACUCUGAGUGAUCAGAGCUAGGUCUCACAUCCUUACAUAUUGGCUGACUUCAAACAGCAUAGUUGAUGAGCCAAGUGCAGGUUCUGAGGGCAGGUUGUAACCUGGUGCACAAACUUAGAUCUCAGAAAAAUGCUGAAGGUAUACACAGGGACUCCCCAUGCCCACCCUCGUAAGCCUUUAAAAAAGAAAGCAAAUUUCUUUAAAGACGGAAUCUCCUUUGUCUCAUUAACACUUUGAUAUAAAAGACAGUGCACUCCAUUUCCAUUUCUUUUAGGCCCAAGGUUUUCCACUUGAAUAAAGUUGUGGGAGUGAGUUCACACCGUCAGUAGA
rnacentral:lncRNA from 1 species